GACGAACGCUGGCGGCGGGCUUAACACAUGCAAGUCGAACGGAAAGGCCCUGCUUUUGUGUGGUGCUCGAGUGGCGAACGGGUGAGUAACACGGGAGUAACCCUGCCUUUGCGUUGGGAUGACUUCAGGAAACUGGGGCUAAUACCUGAUAGGAGCUCCUGCUGCAUGGUGGGGGUUGGAAAGUUUAGGCUGGUGUGGGUGGACUGGCGGCUUAUCAGCUUGUGGGUUGGGUAGUCGCUUACCAAGGCUUUGACGGGUCGGCGGCCUGAGAGGGUGGACGGCGUCAUUGGGCCUGAGAUACGGAGCAGACUGCUACGGGAGACAGCAGUCGAAAGUAUGGCACAAUGGGGGGGAGCGUGAUGAGGAAGCGCCGCGAGCGUGAUGCCGGCCUUGGGGUUGUAAACCGCUUUAGCCUGUGACGAUGCGUGAGUGACGGUAAUGGGUGAAGAAGCACCGGCUAACUACGUG
rnacentral:rRNA from 1 species